UACGUAGGGUGCAAGCGUUGUCCGGAAUUAUUGGGCGUAAAGAGCUCGUAGGCGGUUUGUCGCGUCUGCUGUGAAAACUGGAGGCUCAACCUCCAGCCUGCAGUGGGUACGGGCAGACUAGAGUGCGGUAGGGGAGAUUGGAAUUCCUGGUGUAGCGGUGGAAUGCGCAGAUAUCAGGAGGAACACCGAUGGCGAAGGCAGAUCUCUGGGCCAUUACUGACGCUGAGGAGCGAAAGCAUGGGGAGCGAACAGG
rnacentral:rRNA from 1 species